UCACUACAAGAAAAAAGGAAUUUAGCGAUGGUCAAUUAGCGGCAAUUGACCUGGAACCGCAGCCGCUUCUACAUAUACCGACUGUUAGUUACCCGCCGCUGCUGUACAUGUAAUAGUGGCGUAUGACUUAUAGGUAAUGCCGGCGGAUAGAACCGCCGCUGCUUGCUCAUCAGAAAUUUAGGAAAAAAUAGAACCUUUUAUUACUUUCCCCUUAAUUU
rnacentral:lncRNA from 1 species